rnacentral:other from 1 species
AUGUUUGAAAUCAACCUACUGAUUUUUAAACGCCCUUUCCCCUGAGUGAAGUACAAAAUUGCUGUGUGUAGUCUUUGCCCAUCCUCUGUGAUGGGCUUUUUUUUGC